CAUGUGCACAAGCCCCUGAGUGCACGUGCUUGUGUGUGUGUGCGCGUGGGCGCGCACGUACACACACACACACACACACACACACACAU
rnacentral:miRNA from 1 species